rnacentral:rRNA from 1 species
UUCCAGACUCCUACGGGAGGCAGCAGUGGGGAAUAUUGCACAAUGGGGGAAACCCUGAUGCAGCGACGCCGCGUGAGUGAAGAAGUAUUUCGGUAUGUAAAGCUCUAUCAGCAGGGAAGAAAAUGACGGUACCUGACUAAGAAGCCCCGGCUAACUACGUGCCAGCAGCCGCGGUAAUACGUAGGGGGCAAGCGUUAUCCGGAUUUACUGGGUGUAAAGGGAGCGUAGACGGCAUGGCAAGUCAGAUGUGAAAGCCCGGGGCUCAACCCCGGGACUGCAUUUGAAACUGUCAGGUUGGAGUGCAGGAGAGGUAAGUGGAAUUCCUAGUGUAGCGGUGAAAUGCGUAGAUAUUAGGAGGAACACCAGUGGCGAAGGCGGCUUACUGGACUGUAACUGACGUUGAGGCUCGAAAGCGUGGGGAGCAAACAGGAUUAGAUACCCCAGUA